ensembl:ncRNA C05C9.12 ncRNA
CCGGAAGAAAAGCGAACAUAUAUCAAGAAGAGAAAAAAAACAAGUAGAAAAACCCAUGUAGGAGGAAAAGUGACCAAAAAUGGCAACAUAUACAAUAGGAUCGCGGAUUUGCAAAAUCGUUUUUUAAUCCGUUUAACUU